UCCAGCUCAAGCUAGCCAUUUGCC
rnacentral:siRNA from 1 species